AUGGCGGUGUGGAAUGAACAGCUUGUCCGUACAGUGUUUACACCUUUUGAUGCAGAGCCAAUUCUGCAGAUCCCGUUAUGCACUAGACGGUCUCAGACUUUUGGGCUUGGAGCGAGGAACCGUGGGGUCAUUUUUCGGCAAGCUCGGCUUACUAAUUCGUCACAGAAGAAGGAGAAUCAUGGGACUACGGCCACUAGAAGCAUGGGAUGGCUUGCUCCACCGGAGCUUUAUAUGAAGAUCAAUGUGGAUGCUGCAGUGAGCAGAGGAGGAUGCCACGGAGCAGUUGGGGCAAUUUGUAGAAGCAACGAUGGCUCUUUCUCAGGCGCAUCAACGAUUGUCUUCACAAACCAAAGCGAUCCGGCUACUCUUGAAGCAAUGACGAUCAGGGAAGGUUUUUUUGCUAGAAAACGUUCCUUUCCAGCGCGGCGGGCGGUGCCCUUCACGGCGGCGACAACUCCGAGUGGGCUCGCGGGAGACGGCGCUGGGCUUGGGAGAUGCGGCCGCGAGGGCGCCGCAUCAGUUCGCGGCAGCGAGGCGGGGAUGCGGCGCUGCGCUCCCGGGAUGCAGCAGCGAGGCGUCGAGGCAGCGCUGCGCUCGGGCGCGGCAUCAAGCGGCAGCAGCGAGGCGGGAGGCGCACAUGGAGAUGAAGGAGGAGAAAAUGGAGAGUCGGCCGGGGCGAGGAGUUCGCCGGCGUCGAAGCCACGGACCACGGCGCUGCAAGCUUGCAGGGGGCGGUGGCCAUGGCGGGGAGGCGGCGCUGAGCUCGGGAGCCGCAUGCCUCCUCUGCCGCUCCUUCUUUCUUUCUUCCCCAACUCCUCUCUUGCACGUCGUCGUCUUGCCGCCCACGCAGCAAAGAGGUCGAGGAAGAGGCGGGAGUCGGGUCAAUCGAUCUGUCGCACGAGGAUGCGGCACUCCCUGUUCCAUCUAGAUCAACGGGCGCAGAGGGAGGUGGAAGAAGAGCCACGACCUCCGAGCAGGAGGCUGUCGCCUAGCACGCAUCUGACUGCGGCUAUUUUAUCCAUGAGCUGGAGGAUAAGAAUUCGCUACCAGGUUGGAGAUUUGGGAUCGGAUGCUGCGCCAAGAAUGAGGGACCAAGAAUUUCAAAAUACUUCUCAUAAUUUGGAAAAUUGUUCGCUUUGCCAGGAACAUGUGAUCGGGGUUUUGAGGCCAGAUUUCUUGCCAAAAAUAUUAACUCUGUCCAGCAGUGGGCACUGUCAAGUAGUCUUGCCUUGGCUCUGCUGCCUCUCCUCUCUGCUCAUUGCUGGCUGUGGCUGUCCCAUCUCUCCUAGAGCUGCUGCUGCUGCUGCACUUCUUCUGAAGCUCUUCUCAAACCCGUUCACCUUGACCUUCACUGCCCGUGAUGAAUCAGAAACUGAAGAUGAUGAUCCCAUGGACACAGAAGAAGCUUCCUCUGUCCUCAUCGCUGCACUGCAGUCUUUCAGCCAAGCUCUGGUGUAUGAUGACGAAGAAAAAGAUACAGUUAAGUCGGAGGAGAGGACCCGGAUCCCGGACGGCGCGCUGCUUUGGUCCCAGUCCACUCGCCAUGUUUGGGUACCCAGCUCGGCCCUGUGCAGGCCAGCAGGCCUUGUUCCAUCUGAGUACGUUUUGGUGUUGAUGUUGGUGUUGGGAGGAGGACCGGCCAGGGUGGAUGCGAUCGAUCAUGCCGUCCCGAACACCAAGACCAGCGCCUUGGCCUCCCCGCGUAUAGUCCAAAGUGUACUAUCACCAAGUCCGCGUACAUCGCUUGUGGUGGAACGACGGAACCAUUGGAACUAUGACGUCGGCGAUGAACGUGACGAUCGAUCUCUAAUCUUGCACUACGGCGUCUACGAAGAACAUGCAGCUUACGGCGGUACUACCAUCAAUCAAUACUACAUAAGCCCAACGCCCCAACCUCAACCACCUUCACUUACGAGGACUCCCGACACCCUCGUGUCGGCGGCACCACCUUGGGCAGCUGCAGAUUCGCCCACCUGCGCCAUACAAGACAAUGAUGGCUGCAUCAACGCCGUGGUGCAGAUACACCAGCCGAGUAGUACCUUAUAA
rnacentral:rRNA from 1 species